AUAAUCCUGGUUUAAUGGGCAAAACGGCUGCAUUGACAGGGUGCGGCCAAUGCGGGUUCGAAUCCCGCGGAUU
rnacentral:tRNA from 1 species